rnacentral:tRNA from 1 species
UGGCAUAGCUCAGUGGUAGAGCCCUUGCCUAGCACGUAUGAGGCCCUGGGUUUGAUCCCGGCCAG